rnacentral:misc_RNA from 1 species
AACGAGGCCGACCUGCGGCUGAGUUACCUGCGGAAGGAUCAUUAUCGUUGGGCUCCUGCCCAUUCGAGAUAACACCCUUGCCUUUUUGAGUACCUUUUCGUUUCCUCGGCAGGCACGCCUGCCAACGGGGACCCUUCAAAACGCUUUGUAAUACCUGUCAUUGUCUGAUAUAACAAGCAAAAAUCAAAACUUUCAGCAAUGGAUCU